rnacentral:rRNA from 1 species
GGACGUUUAUUGGGCCUAAAGCAUCCGUAGCCGGUUCUACAAGUCUUCCGUUAAAUCCACCUGCUUAACAGAUGGGCUGCGGAGGAUACUAUAGAGCUAGGAGGCGGGAGAGGCAAGCGGUACUCGAUGGGUAGGGGUAAAAUCCGUUGAUCCAUUGAAGACCACCAGUGGCGAAGGCGGCUUGCCAGAACGCGCUCGACGGUGAGGGAUGAAAGCUGGGGGAGCAAACCGG